rnacentral:lncRNA from 1 species
UAGCCACUAUGCCUCAAGAUCUCUAUGCCAAGAUCCAGGUCAGAAACUUGUAUCUCCCAGAUUCAAGAUGUGAAUCACAGGUACACUGUUCCACACUUGCACCAACCACCCCAAAAUAAAAGUACACCAAGCUCAAUUUGUGUUGCCAACUACUCACUGAAACAUGAUCUAACUCUUACUGACCAGCCUCUUAAAGAAAACAGAGUCCUUCCCAACCUGGACCAGAAACCAUUAACUCCGAAGAGCUUCACUUCAGCAUCUUUAUCACUAUCUAACUGUCUUUGGAACAAGUGGUGGAACUCUCAGCUCCUCCAGUCUCAUGCCUGCCUGAACAUUGCCAUGCUCCCACCUUGAUGAUAAUCGACUGAACCUUGGAACCUGUAAGCCACCCCAAUUAAAUGUUGUA